AUUGAACGCUGGCGGCAUGCCUUACACAUGCAAGUCGAACGGUAACAGGUUAAUCUGACGAGUGGCGAACGGGUGAGUAAUGUAUCGGAACGUGCCCCGUCGUGGGGGAUAACUGCUCGAAAGAGCAGCUAAUACCGCAUACGACCUGAGGGUGAAAGCGGGGGAUCGCAAGACCUCGCGCGAUUGGAGCGGCCGAUAUCAGAUUAGGUAGUUGGUGAGGUAAAGGCUCACCAAGCCGACGAUCUGUAGCUGGUCUGAGAGGACGACCAGCCACACUGGGACUGAGACACGGCCCAGACUCCUACGGGAGGCAGCAGUGGGGAAUUUUGGACAAUGGGCGCAAGCCUGAUCCAGCCAUGCCGCGUGCGGGAAGAAGGCCUUCGGGUUGUAAACCGCUUUUGUCAGGGAAGAAAAGGUUCUGGCUAAUACCUGGGACUCAUGACGGUACCUGAAGAAUAAGCACCGGCUAACUACGUG
rnacentral:rRNA from 1 species